rnacentral:tRNA from 2 species
GAAAGUUGGCUGAGCGGUCGAUAGCGGCGGUCUUGAAAACCGUUGAUGUGAGAGCAUCCGGGGGUUCGAAUCCCUCACUUUCC